rnacentral:rRNA from 1 species
AUGGCGAACCUCGAAUCGUUAGCCUCACUUGCCGCCAUCCUCAUCCUCGUCCUCGUCGAGGUCGCUGUCCUGUCCUCGUUCGCGGCCGCGCAGCUGCGGCCGGACUACUACGCCAACGUCUGCCCCAACCUGGAGGGCAUUGUCCGGUACUCCGUGAAGCAGUCCAUGGUCAAGUCCCCCAUCUCCGCGCCCGCCACCCUCAGGCUCUUCUUCCACGACUGCGCCGUCAUGGGCUGUGACGCAUCGGUCAUGAUCAUCAGCCCGACUGGCGACGACGAGUGGCGGAACCAGGACGACUAUUCGCUGAAGCCGGAGGGCUUCCAGACGAUCCUGGAUGCCAAGGCUGCCGUGGACAGCGACCUGCAGUGCCGCUAUAAGGUGUCCUGCGCCGACAUAAUCGCCCUCGCCGCAAGAGAGUCCGUCUCCCAGAGCGGAGGGCCCAACUACACAGUAGAGCUGGGCAGGUACGAUGGGAAGAUCUCGACGACGAACAGCGUCAUGCUGCCGCACGUCGACGACAACCUCGACAGCCUCAAUUCCUUCUUCUAUACCCUAGGCCUCUCCCAGAUCGACAUGAUCGCAUUAUCAGGUGCCCACACCUUGGGAGCGGCCGACUGCGGCUUCUUCCAGCACAGGACCAGGGGCAAGGAUCCGAGCAUGAACCCGAGCUUUGACGCGCAGCUUCAGGGCACCUGUGCCAGACAGAACUUUGCGUUCCUGGAUGACGUGACACCGGUGGGAUUCGACAACUCCUACUUCAAGCUCCUGCAGAAUGGCAGGGGCCUCCUGGGCUCCGACCAGGUGUUGUACACAGACCAGAGAUCACGCGGUACCAUAGACUACUAUGCGUCCAACCAGGGCAUCUUCUUCUACGACUUUAGCAUCGCCAUGACAAAGCUCGGCAAGGUCGGGGUCAAGACGGCCACUGACGGCGAGAUACGCCGUGACUGUCGGUAUCCAAAUUAG